AUACCGUGUUGAGGACACUUCCGGAGUAAUCCUUUAAAUCGUGUCCAAGCUUCAUACAAAGAUUCUCUUUCUUUUGUUCAAAAGCUGUGAUCUCCGCCUUGAGCCU